GCUAGCUUAUGGCUAACCAACACCUUGUAGAUUUAAAGGCCUGCUAAGGAAAAUCCUCAAAGCCUUUUAUCAAGGAACACACGUCACAAUGCACGGCAAGUAAAGAGGAGUGCUAAUCUGUGAAGCUUACGCCACGCUGAGCUGAACAUUCAGAUGACCAGAGGAGGGCAGAGGGGCGGCAGAAAGCGACUCUGCAAAGAAAGCCAAGCGCUGCUGAAGGUCUAAAGAAGGAACAAGGUUCAGAAGCCCAGGCCUCCAGAGACCAUCGCAGUCUUUUAAAGAUAUGUGCUCACUUAAUCACUGAAGAAAAGGGCCCCCAGAGCUAGCCUAAUAUUAUAAUUAAUUAAUUCAACCAAAAAGGGGUAUUAAAUUUCCUCCCUCUCAGGAUAUCAGCUGAAUACAUUGACCUUUGUGGAAAUCGCCCUCUAAUUUGAAUCAGGGGUUUUUUGAGUCGUUUACAGACUAAACUUGUUUCUUUUUCCUCUACUCCCAUCUAUGUUUUUUGGGAGGGGGGUUUCUCUCUGUCUGCAGGAGUUUGAGGAAAAAGCCUCAUACUACAGGGUGUGCGUGAGAGAGCAACUUUGUCCAUAACGUGCCUCUUUUUGUGUGCGAGUGUGCGCGUAUCUUCACAGAUUUGUGUUUUAUGUGCGUGUCUGUGCAAAAAAAAAGUGCAUGUGAGUGUGAGUGAUCCCUAGUUUUAUCUCCCUGCUGUAACACAGAAAAGAACAGAAACUUUUCUUAUUACCGGAGAGAGUGGUAGAA